UAGGAUAAGCUAAUUAAUAAGCUGUUGGGCUCAUAACCCAGAAAUAGAGUAUCCUUCCUACC
rnacentral:tRNA from 1 species